UACAGAGGGUGCAAGCGUUGUUCGGAAUCACUGGGCUUAAAGGGUGCGUAGGCGGCGCGGAAAGUUGGGUGUGAAAUCCCUCGGCUCAACCGAGGAACUGCGUCCAAAACUGCCGUGCUCGAGGGAGACAGAGGUGAGCGGAACUUAGGGUGGAGCGGUGAAAUGCGUUGAUAUCCUAAGGAACACCGGUGGCGAAAGCGGCUCACUGGGUCUCUUCUGACGCUGAGGCACGAAAGCUAGGGUAGCGAACGGG
rnacentral:rRNA from 1 species